AUCCAGCUGACGAGUCCCAAAUGGGACAAAAAACGCGUCCUGGAU
rnacentral:hammerhead_ribozyme from 1 species